UUAUGUGGCCAAGUCCGGUAGUGGUCUCUCUGAAACCCCUUCUCCCCUCCUCCUUCCCUCCAAAAUCCCUCCUUCACUCACCAAUCCCCAAACGUGUCUCUCUCGUCUUCCUCCACAUCGCCGGCACGAUCUUCUACCUUACGGGCUUCUAAUCUGCUCAACAAUGCCGGUAUUGAGGCCUAUUAUUCCUUUUGCUGCAUGCCCGAUAGGCGUCUUUGGGUAGCUGUUCUUCUCAUCGGUGGCGUUGAUAGUAGUGUCGCCCUCCGCCUCUGGCAUGCCGCUGGCCACCAGUGCACUGCCUUCUACCUCAAAAUCUGGUUCCAAGUACUGUCUCUCUCCCUGUAUUUUUGCUAUCUUUGAAAUUCCGGCUCUUUGCCUAAGAAAAUAAAGCCCAGCCAUGGCCCAGGGGAACAAGAUUUGAAGUAUGCCAGUGCUGUUUGUGAUCAGGCUGAUGUACUAUUGGAAGUUGUUCAUUUGACUGAUGAAUAUUGGGAAAAUGAGCCUUUUGCCAGGGAAGAACCUGCAUUGGCUCUGGUGUGAUCUGUA